GUAGUUAGCCGGGGCUUCCUCCUUGGCUACCGUCACUUUCUUCGUCACUAAGAACAGAGGUUUACAAUCCGAAAACCUUCAUCCCUCACGCGGCGUUGCUGGGUCAGGCUUUCGCCCAUUGCCCAAUAUUCCCCACUGCUGCCUCCCGUAGGAGUCUGGACCGUGUCUCAGUUCCAGUGUGGCCGAUCAGCCUCUCAGCUCGGCUACCCAUCGUCGACUUGGUGGGCCGUUACCCCGCCAACUAUCUAAUGGGACGCGAGCCCCUCCUUCAGCGAAUUGCUCCUUUGACCCCUCUACCAUGCGGUAGCGUGGUCUCAUGCGGUAUUAGCAGUAAUUUCUCACUGUUAUCCCCCUCUGAAGGACAGGUUGCUCACGCGUUACUCACCCGUUCGCCACUAACUCAAGGAGCAAGCUCCUCUCGUCCGUUCGACUUGCAUGUGUUAGGCACGCCGCCAGCGUUCGUCCUGAGCCAGAAUCGAACCCUGA
rnacentral:rRNA from 1 species